rnacentral:rRNA from 1 species
AUUGAACGCUGGCGGCAGGCCUAACACAUGCAAGUCGAACGAGUGGCGGACGGGUGAGUAAUGUAUGGGAAACUGCCCGAUGGAGGGGGAUAACUACUGGAAACGGUAGCUAAUACCGCAUACCAUCGGAUGUGCCCAGAUGGGAUUAGCUUGUAGGUGAGGUAACGGCUCACCUAGGCGACGAUCCCUAGCUGGUCUGAGAGGAUGACCAGCCACACUGGAACUGAGACACGGUCCAGACUCCUACGGGAGGCAGCAGUGGGGAAUAUUGCACAAUGGGCGCAAGCCUGAUGCAGCCAUGCCGCGUGGAUGAAGAAGGCCUUCGGGUUGUAAAGUACUUUCAGCGGGGAGGCGUUACCAGCAGAAGAAGCACCGGCUAACUCCGUGCCAGCAGCCGCGGUAAUGC